rnacentral:rRNA from 1 species
GAUGAACGCUGGCGGCGUGCCUAAUACAUGCAAGUCGAGCGAACGGACGAUAAGCUUGCUUCUCUGAUGUUAGCUGCGGACGGGUGAGUAACACGUGGAUAACCUACCUAUAAUACUGUGAUAACUUCGGGGAACCGGAGCUAAUACCGGAUAAUAUUUUGAACCUCAUGUUUCAAAAGUGAAAGACGGUCUUGCUGUCACUUAUAGAUGGAUCCGCGCUGCAUUAUCUAGUUGGUAAGGUAACGGCUUAACAAGGCAACGAUGCAUAGCCGACCUGAGAGGGUGAUUGGGCAAACGGGAACAGAGACAGGGUCCAGACUCCGACGGGAGGAAGCAGUAGGGAAUCUUCCGCGAUGGGGGAAAGCCUGACGGAGCAACGCCGCGUGAGUGAUGAAGGUGUUCGGAUCGUAAAACUCUGUUAUUAGGGAAGAACAUAUGUGUAAGUAAAUGUGAAGAUAUUGACGGUACCUAAUCAGAAAGCCCCGGCUAACUACGUG